UAGGAAUCUCCACAAUGGACGCAAGUCUGAUGGAGCAACGCCGCGUGAGUGAAGAAGGUUUUCGGACCGUAAAGCUCUGUUGUUGGUGAAGAAGGAUAGAGGUAGUAACUGGCCUUUAUUUGACGGUAAUCAACCAGAAAGUCACGGCCAACUACGUGCCAGCAGCCGCGGUAAUCGUAGGUGGCAAGCGUUGUCCGGAUUUAUUGGGCGUAAAGCGAGCGCAGGCGGAAGAAUAAGUCUGAUGUGAAAGCCCUCGGCUUAACCGAGGAAUUGCAUCGGAAACUGUUUUCUUGAGUGCAGAAGAGGAGAGUAGAACUCCAUGUGUAGCGGUGGAAUGCGUAGAUAUAUGGAAGAAUACCAGUGGCGAAGGCGGCUCUCUGGUCUGCAACUGACGCUGAGGCUCGAAAGCAUGGGUAGCGAACAGGAUUAGAUACCCUGGUAGUCCAUGCCGUAAACGAUGAGUGCUAAGUGUUGGGAGGCUUCCGCCUCUCAGUGCUGCAGCUAACGCAUUAAGCACUCCGCCUGGGGGAGUACGACCGCAAGGUUG
rnacentral:rRNA from 1 species